rnacentral:rRNA from 1 species
UACAGAGGUCUCAAGCGUUUGUUCGGAUUCAUUGGGCGUAAAGGGUGCGUAGGUGGCGCCGUAAGUCAGGUGUGAAAUUUCGGAGCUUAACUCCGAAACUGCAUUUGAUACUGCGGUGCUUGAGGACUGGAGAGGAGACUGGAAUUCACGGUGUAGCAGUGAAAUGCGUAGAUAUCGUGAGGAAGACCAGUGGCGAAGGCGGGUCUCUGGACAGUUCCUGACACUGAG